rnacentral:rRNA from 1 species
GGCGGCGUGCCUAACACAUGCAAGUCGAACGAGAAAGUUGGCUUCGGCCGAUGAGUAAAGUGGCGCACGGGUGAGUAACGCGUGGAUAAUCUGCCCUUUAGUUUGGAAUAACGUACCGAAAGGUGCGCUAAUACCGGAUAAUACUGAAUGACUACUGUUGUUUAGUCAAAGAAGGCUUCUGUUUACAUGCUUUUGCUGAAGGAUGAGUCCGCGUACCAUUAGCUAGUUGGUAGGGUAAUGGCCUACCAAGGCGACGAUGGUUAGCUGGUCUGAGAGGAUGAUCAGCCACACUGGAACUGAGACACGGUCCAGACUCCUACGGGAGGCAGCAGUGAGGAAUAUUGCGCAAUGGGGGCAACCCUGACGCAGCAACGCCGCGUGAGCGAGGAAGGUUUUCGGACCGUAAAGCUCUGUCGAGCGGGAAGAAAUGCAUGGUGGCUAAUAUCCAUCAUGCUUGACGGUACCGCUAAAGGAAGCACCGGCUAACUCCGUG